rnacentral:lncRNA from 1 species
CGUACAAGACUAGAAGGUAAAAGACGACAUAAAAAGAAGAACAGACUCAAAACACAAAAAAUAAAAAAUAAAAUAAAAAAAUCUCCUUAAGCAACUCCUGAACGAGCGAUCCUGACUGGAUGGUCCUAGGGUGUCUGCCAUGUUCAAACUCCGGUAAGUAGAUCCACACCUAUAUGAGAAAACUAAAACCAACACGAUGUGAGACAAUACACUCCCUACUGGACACAUGUAAGAUAUGAUCGAGGCUAUUUUUGCAAAAUGGCUUAUGUGGCCAAAAGGUGGCUAGAAAUGCAAAAUUUGGUUAAGACCCUGCAAAGUCAAGAACCUAAGAUUUACUAGGAAGACCGAACCCUAUGUGGGUUGCCUACGUAUCUCACCCCGAAAGACAAGAAUCAGGUAUGCGUAGUUCGGACAAAUUGGAUAUGGGCGAGAAUUAAAAAAAACAACUAAAUUAGAGAAAAUAUAUUUUUUGAAAAAUGAUGAAACAUGUAAACUCUUUUUGGAUUUUUCUUUUCCCCUUUUUGUUUUUCGAAAAAUGAUGGGAAAGUGGAAAUCUUUUUUGGGAAUUUUCAUUUUUUUGUCUUCUCUUGAAAAAUAUUGUGCAAGAAAAAUAUAACUACACCCAACUUGCUUCAUUUUUACACUUCGCUCUCUUUUCUUUCUUAUCCCAUUUUGGUCUGCUAAAUGACCCUUUUUACCCUUGAAGAUUGCAACAUGUAGCACAUAAGAUGCAUCAGGAUAUUCUUUUAUUUUUGGGUACACUUGUCCUAGACGGACCCAACCCCUAUGUUGAGUCCCCUAAGUCAAAUUCACGUGAUGCAAACAAAUAUGCCUACUAGGGAUCCGACAUGAGGUUAUGUUAUUCUAAGUUUAAACCUGGGGUAAUGUUCUUGACCUGGCUUAUCUGAGCGGACAACUCGAGCCGAAGAGGGGGCAACGUACCGGGAGCACGAAAGUCUACCCAGCCUUAUUGCUGGCCCAAACUCGUUCUAUUUUGUAUAACUUCUAAAAGAAAAAAUGGGCCACGCGAAUGUGUGCACCAUUUUUUUGAAGACUCAGAAGGGAGGCGAAAAAAUGCAUUUUAAUACAAUUCAAACAAUAUCGAAAUGAUAAAAUAAACAACAAUUAGCACAUUAGGUUUACAAAUACAAUAAUAUCAACAAACAAUAAAGCCAAGCAGAGAUCGUAUUAACAAGCUCGAAUUCUUGAACCCUGAAAUGAAAGUUCUGGGUUUUUAUCCCAGCAGAGUUGCCAUAACUGUCAAACCUCCUUUUUACUACCCCUGCAAGGGGAGUAUAAGGGAGUUUUUUUUUUCAAUUUAAGUGACAAUCAAAAUGGAAUUAUUUAUAUUAAAAUCAGAGUCGCUACUUAGGAUAAUUUAUGGUGUCCCAAGUCACCGAUUAAAAUUUCGAAUUGAGAAAGUUGACUCUAUUUACAGUCCGCGAACACAGAAAUCCGGGUAAAGAAUUCUGUUAAUAUGGGAGAAGGUGUUAGGCAUUCCCGAGUUCCGUGGUUUUAGCACGGUCGCUUUGAUCAUACUUGGCUUAAUCAAAUUGUUUAAUUACGUAUUUAGAACCUAUGUACUUUUACCUUUUACCACUUUUAUUUUCUUAAUUAUUCCUAAAUAGGGAGUCAUCUAGAAAAACGAGUCACGAGUCACGCGUACGUGUACUUAUUUUGUUUGGCGCAUCAAGAAUCAUGUCACGCAAACGCGUCCACAAUUAAUAACGCUUUGUUAUUAUUAACAAAGUUUGGUCAAAGUUGCGCGAACGCAUACUCCAAUUUUGAGGAAUCGUAAUUAUGUCACGCGAACGUGUACACAAUCACGAUAAUUUAAUUAAUUAAGGGCGAGCCUAAAUCAUUCUAAAGCAUAAUGCUACAGAAAUAGGCAUUGAAAUCUACCCACUCUAGAUGAUAAUAAGAUAUAGCUAAAUCUCAAAACUCUUCUUUCAUGCCUCAUAUCCACACCGCCCACAAAAAUAGGAGAAAAGAGAGAAAGUCUUAAGAUAAGCCAAAGAUGACUUGUCAAACUAACUUAAAAGACAAAAAAAAUAAAGGUCUACCAAAAUCUAAAUUUAGAAAUUACGUCUCAUGUGUAUCAAACUGUAGCUAUUGACAAAAAGCGUUAAUGAGUUCCUAAUUAAUAAGCUUAAGGCCUAAAGGAAUAUUACUAGAAAUAUACUAAGACAACCUCACAUAAAGAUGAUCAAAGAUUAUAUUCACAUAUUAACUCAAGCUAUUAGGAGUAGUAAAUAAUUCAUUCUGUGCUAAGCCAUAUUGAUUCAACCUGGGUAGAACCUAAAAUAAAUUGAUAAGAAUAAAGGACAUAGGAAGAUAACUUAUUAAAGAAAUUAGUGCAAGACCCUGAAUAUUAAAAACUCCCAAAUUAAGAUUGACGAGACUCUUAAAAUAGGGUUUGAAUAUUCAAACAGAACAUAAAAAGCCAAUGCCAUGUUUAACACCGUCAUGACAUAAGCAGAUAUAUAAGUGUAACAGAAAAUGAAAUAAAGAAGUUGACCUCAAAAGAAGCUCUCUUAAUUGAUCGAUAAAAUGUAAUAGGAAAUAUCCACUGGAAUACGAACUUCGAUAGGAACUGCGAACUGCGAGGAACUCGAACUGAUGACCAAAAUCGAACCUUGAACCUCGACCAACAAUCGAUGAGACAGUGCCGAAAAUAAAAACCCACGAACAAAAGAACAAAAGAUUGACUGAAGGGCUGAAUUUUAUGAAGUUGUUAUUUGGUGAUUAUUUCAGGUGCGUUCAUGGUAUUCGACAGCAGCUGGUCGCUGACUGGAAUUGGAAGAGGUCAUCACCAGCGAGUUGAAGAAGAAGAAGGGGUCAGCGCGGCGACUUUGUGUGUGGCGUUGGCUGCUGUUGGUUUUUAGGCUGUCUAGGUUGGAAUGCUUUUUCAGAUUUUUCUUUUUAUGUAUAGGUUAGUCCUUAGGAAGAUGAAGGAGUUCAUGUACGCGAGGAGGGGGAGAGAGGGGUCUAUGGUGAGAAAAGGGCGGAUCUGUUUUUUUCUCUUAGGCAUCUAGGUCUAGGGUGUACUAGGUUUUAGGUUAAUUUAAGAAGAAUAAAGGUCCGAAUCUUGGGUGUUGGGCCGGGUCGACCUGGUCUGGGUUGGGUUGGGGAGAAAAUUUGGGCUUCUAAAAUGUUUGGCCCAAUUGAAUUUAAA